rnacentral:tRNA from 1 species
ACUUAAGUAAUUUAAUUCUAAAAUUUCGAUUUGUGGUAUCGAAUAUAUAUAUAUAUAUAUAUAUCUUAGGUU